AUGCACUACUUUGAUAAUCCUGAGAAAACCCCAUUCAACUUGAUAAUGGGAGUAACGUUGGAUCAACAUGAAUACUUUUGGGAUUAUCUCUUGACUCAAAAGGGAAAACUUUUAUGGGAUCAAAUUGAAAUGUUGCAAUGGUAUGCUUGGAAUCUAUGCUUGAGAUAUGAUUAUACUUGUUGCUCAAAGAUUGAGGUUCCACACCUUCCCUAUUCAUGCGAAUUUAAUGAUAAUGAAACCUUGGCUUCUUAUGCUAGAGGUAUAUAUGAUUACUAUGAUGUGGAACAAAUAGAAGAAUUUGUUGCUUUUAAGGGUGCUUAUGAAAUUGAAUCUUUGUUUGAAAAGUUUGAAGAUUUUGAUGAUUCUGUUUAUAGACCUGAAAAUCUUGCUAUCCUUAAAUCUUGCUAUGAUAAUUAUGAUAUUGAUGUAUUUAUUGAGAAUAACUCCGCUGUCCAAGAAUAG
rnacentral:rRNA from 1 species